rnacentral:rRNA from 1 species
UACGAAGGGGGCUAGCGUUGUUCGGAUUUACUGGGCGUAAAGCGCAUGUAGGCGGAUGGUUAAGUCAGGGGUGAAAUCCCAGAGCUCGACUCUGGAACUGCCUUUGAUACUGGCCAUCUUGAGUCCGGAAGAGGUGAGUGGAACUCCUAGUGUAGAGGUGGAAUUCGUAGAUAUUAGGAAGAACACCAGUGGCGAAGGCGGCUCACUGGUCCGGUACUGACGCUGAGGCUCGAAAGCGUGGGGAGCAAACAGG